CCUACGGGUGGCUGCAGUGGGGAAUAUUGGACAAUGGGCGAAAGCCUGAUCCAGCCAUGCCGCGUGUGUGAAGAAGGCCUUCGGGUUGUAAAGCACUUUCAGUGGGGAAGAAAGCCUUGGGGCUAAUACCCUCGAGGAAGGACAUCACCCACAGAAGAAGCACCGGCUAACUCCGUGCCAGCAGCCGCGGUAAUACGGAGGGUGCGAGCGUUAAUCGGAAUUACUGGGCGUAAAGCGCGCGUAGGCGGUCUGAUAAGCCGGUUGUGAAAGCCCCGGGCUCAACCUGGGAACGGCAUCCGGAACUGUCAGGCUAGAGUGCAGGAGAGGAAGGUAGAAUUCCCGGUGUAGCGGUGAAAUGCGUAGAGAUCGGGAGGAAUACCAGUGGCGAAGGCGGCCUUCUGGACUGACACUGACGCUGAGGUGCGAAAGCGUGGGUAGCAAACAGGAUUAGAUCCCCCUGGUAGUC
rnacentral:rRNA from 1 species